UUGGGCAAAGAAAAAACAGCGGUUGGAUGAAAAUCAUUCAAAACUUUCCUUUCGGCCAAAGCAGUCGUAAAAUUCUCGUGAAAUAUUUUCCCCGUAAUAUUAGAAGCGGGUUCGGCCUAUAUUUACUAUGCCUCUGUUAUGCAACUACAUUGGAUGUCCAUCGUCUAACUUCUGCUACGCACCGGGAUGUGGACCAUGUAUAGCUCCGUGCGGUCCUUGGGGACCCUGCGGGCUAGGUUGGCCUCGUACUCCAUUUAGACCCCGCGGUAUUCCGUGCGGAUCAUGCUGGGGACCAAGUGGACCGUACAAUCGCAUAGAAUAUUAUGACGGUUGAAUAAUCGAAUGUUGCUCAAAACUGAUGCACAGAUGAUUGCGGAAGUAAAAAUAGUCUAGCAUGUGUAUCACAUUGUAUGAACCAUCAACGUCCUUCUUCCGCAGUUCGUCCAAAAUCCGAACUUCGACGAGGGCCUGAUGGUGGAAGCGCUUUUUGUUGCGGAUGAUUUUGAUUGCUACAUGCUUGUUGGUUUUAUGGUCUAUCGCCCGAAUCACCUGGCCGAAGCUACCUUUUCCGAUGACCUCGAGGAUCUCGUACCGGUAGCAGAUGUGGUCGUGAAUCACCUGAGCGAAGUUUUGCUGCCAUUGUCAUCAUCAUAACCCGAAUUAAGCGUGCUGCCUGGCUUGGCGUUAAUUUUGCAGGCAUCGAGACCCAGAUAGUAGACUUCCGGGUACUUUUCUAUUUCCUGCUUUUCAUAGUCGGUUAGCCCGGUUCCAU